GAUGAACGCUGGCGGCGUGCCUAAUACAUGCAAGUCGAGCGAACGGACGAGAAGCUUGCUUCUCUGAUGUUAGCGGCGGACGGGUGAGUAACACGUGGAUAACCUACCUAUAUGACUUGGAUAACUUCGGGAAACCGGAGCUAAUACCGUAUAAUAUUUUGAACCGCAUGGUUCAAAAGUGAAAGACGUUCUUUCUGUCACUUAUAGAUUGAUCCGCGCUGCAUUAGCUAGUUGGUAAGGUAACGGCUUACCAAGGCAACGAUGCAUAGCCGACCUGAGAGGGGGAUCGGACACACGGGAACUGAGACACGGACAAGACGACUACGGGAGGCAGCAGUAGGGAAUCUUCCGCAAUGGGCGAAAGCCUGACGGAGCAACGCCGCGUGAGUGAUGAAGGACUUCGGAUCGUAAAACUCUGUUAUUAGGGAAGAACAUAUGUGUAAGUAAAUGUGCACAUCUUGACGGUACCUAAUCAGAAAGCCACGGCUAACUACGUG
rnacentral:rRNA from 1 species